CCUCAGCAUGCAGUCAGCUGGCAAAACCUGAGGAUUUGACAAGAGAGGGCCUGAGAGGUUUUUGGCCAGUUGCAGGAAGACUGUAUCUGAUUUGCCAGCUAGCUGAGGCUGAGUAUGGUCACUUCAUCAUGUGUGGGCUAACAUCUCCCUGCAUGUGUGUUGGGUUCUCACAAAUUUGUCUGCAUCUACCCACUAACGAGCCCUAUCCUCUGAGGAGGCUACAAGUGAACUGAUUCCUUAAGCUUCCCACACCCCAUGGGUAGAGACUGGCAGCAUUAACCUCAGGACCUCAAAAUUUCAGCCCCUGUCCUGGCCACUAAUCAAGAGUGCCCUCUAUGGUCUCUCUCAGGCAGAAGUGACAGAACUGAUU
rnacentral:lncRNA from 12 species